GGGACUGGUGGGUGGGCCUAGCAGCAGUCUCUUUGCUUAAAGAGCUAUUAGAUUCUCCUGGAAGAGUUCAUCCUAAGGACAGAGAUCAAGGCACACAAUUCAGUCCAACAACAAUGUCCAGGCAGGAGGAGUGGUUUGCGUAUAGUGCAGCCCAGCUCCCAGGCACUCUCAUCCGAAGCCUAGAGGAGGCGCUACGAGUAAAAACUAACAGCUGCUCUCACACAUCUCACAUCUAAAACAGCAUCAUUUCCUGGCUUGUUGCCCAGCCUUUGGAGGAUGUGACUGAUGAAAGGCAGGCAGAACCCCACGGUGGGAAAAGAGGAGAAAGAAAUAUUUAUUAAGCACUUACUCUGGCCAGGAGGCCUACCUGGCCAUUUCACACAAGUGGGUCACCUCACGUCUUUUAAUCCCCAGAAACCUACAAUUACUGCAUGGAAUGGAAAAGCUGCCCCCAAAUUGUACAAGCUUCUGGAUCCACCAAGCCAGGAUUCAGCCCUCAGCAGGACAGAGAGAGUACCCUGGUCGUGGAGCUAGAAGGCUUCCAGGAGGUGUGUUCAAAAUGAGAUUUAAGCAAGAGAAGAAUUUUUACUACACACAGAAGCGGAAGGCCAGGGGAAAGGUGGGCAAAGAAAUUAGGCUAUGAGAAGACCGGGGUUGGGGUGGUUUAAAACAUCC
rnacentral:lncRNA from 1 species